rnacentral:sRNA from 1 species
GCUGGGCGUGGUGGCCCUUGCCUAUAAUCCUGGCUACUCAGGAGGCCGAGGCAAGAGGAUCACAAGUUGGAGCCCAGAUUGGAUAAUUUGGGUAAUUUAGUGAGAUUCUGUUUCAA